rnacentral:lncRNA from 1 species
UAUUUUAAUAAUUCUUUUUGUUUUUUUUUUUAAUGGAGUGUUGAUUACCUUACAUAAAUUUAAUUGUAAACAUGUACAUAGGACCGUGAUUUUGAAUUAAAAAAAUACUUUGGGCCUUCGGCCUUCUUAGUAGUUUUGUUUUGUUUUGUUUUGUUUUGUUUUCGUUUUUGUUUUGAUACGGCGUCUUGCUCUGUCGCCCAGAAAAUAAACAUAUAAAAGUCUUCCUCAGCGACAAAAGCAAACGCAAGCCCGAGCU